rnacentral:rRNA from 1 species
AGCAGCCGCGGUAAUUCCAGCUCCAAUAGCGUAUAUUAAAGUUGUUGUGGUUAAAAAGCUCGUAGUUGAACCUUGGGCCUGGCUGGCCGGUCCGCCUCACCGCGUGUACUGGUCCGGCCGGGCCUUUCCCUCUGUGGAACCCCCAUGCCCUUCACUGGGUGUGGUGGGGAAACAGGACUUUUACUGUGAAAAAAUUAGAGUGCUCCAGGCAGGCCUAUGCUCGAAUACAUUAGCAUGGAAUAAUAGAAUAGGACGUGUGGUUCUAUUUUGUUGGUUUCUAGGACCGCCGUAAUGAUUAAUAGGGACAGUCGGGGGCAUCAGUAUUCAAUUGUCAGAGGUGAAAUUCUUGGAUUUAUUGAAGACUAACUACUGCGAAAGCAUUUGCCAAGGAUGUUUUCAUUAAUCAGGAACGAAAGUUAGGGGAUCGAAGACGAUCAGAUACCGUCGUAGUCUUAACCAUAAACUAU